ACCACGUAGUCGCGCAGAAACCCGGAAGUGCUAAGCAGGUAUGUUUUCUUUUUUUUUCUUCUUUCUUUUUUAGUUGAAGGUAUGUGUGGUAACACAGGUGGACUCGGGAAGAUGUGACGAGUUGGUUUUUUGUCGGAGAGAAAAGAUGGAGGCCUGCUUUCUGCGCUGGUUGCUUUUCGUCGCGCUGACAGCCUGGACGUUAGGAGACGACGGACAAGUGACUUUUGAGUCCGAGCUGUCGUCCAAACCCGCUCAGAAGUUGUCAAAGUAUGGCUGGUACGCCAACGUCAGGCUGCAGAGGUUCCACAUACCGGAGCAGACCGCCAUCGCUCGCUGGCUCUUCUCAGUCAAAAAGGGCCACAGCUUCAACUGUGGGCAGCACAAUGUCAGCAUCCACCUCCGAUGGGGCGCCCCUCCCGUCAUAAACCCAACAGAGACUGUGUUUCCAAAUGCGACGCUGUGGGGCCCCUCCUUGUCCCUGACUCUACCGGUAACCUCCCAGAGCUCCACAACCUUUAACCUCUCCGAUCCGGCCCCAGGGGACUGGUUUGUCGCUGCGCAUUUACCGGAGGACGACGGGCGCAUAGAGCAGAAGGGGUUCCCGUCCUGCUCCUAUUACUUCCAGCCCCAGCUGUCGGUCAGGAGAGCGGCGGACACGCCCGUUCUGCACCAGGGAACCGUCCUGACUCAAACCGCAGCCCCCGACAGACCCGCACGUCUCAAGUUGUUUGUGCCGGAGUUUACCUCGUCUCUCUCGAUUUCCGUGGCCGAGUGCUCGUCCGGCGAGGCGUCGGAGAGCGCGGGCUGCUCGCUGCUCCUCAGGCUGGGCUCGGCGACCCUGCAGCACGGCCAGACGGAGCUGAACUGCUCCGGCGUCAGCUGCUCCGUGUCCCUCUCUAACCCUCCGUGGGACUCGUGGCUGCGGGUCGUUGUGGAGAGCAACCAAGUCAACCGAACUGUAACCUUCAGGGUUGGAUCCAACUACACAGUGGGAUGUAAGCCAAAGAGCGUAGGCCUCACAGCGGACGAUGACAUCACAAAGCUACUCGGCAAGAGCAGCAUCUCCAACGCCACGGCGACGGGGAACGGCUCGGCGCCGGCUCCUCCGGCGUCCGCGUGCGUGUGGAGCGUCCCCGUGCUCUACGAGGAGCUGGACGUUCUGUCGCUGCGGUACACCCCCGUCAACGGCUCCAACGUCAGCGUCACGGAAACGCACCCGACGCUGCUCACCUACCCGCUGCCCCCGCAGGCCACCGGGGGAACGCUCAACCUGCAGCUCACGCUCAAUUCUACUAAUGCAACUGUGGGGAACAACAGCAUCGUGGCCUGUUUCUCUGCCUGGGCUCCAGUCCUCCAACUCAACCACUCUGAACCCUGCAGAACAGCUUUGUUUGGGGGAUACGCCGUCGGGAUCAAUGUCAGCGUCCCUAAAGCUGUGGUCAGGCUGCCUUUUCCUCAGUCCACAACAUGGUACCUCACCCUGCAGCUCCUAUGCAACAGCAGUGACUGCGGUAACGCCUCGGUGGUGUAUGUGGUCCCGGAGGUGUCCGUCAGCGCCUGUGUGGACGACUGCGGGCCGUAUGGUGAAUGUAGGCUGCUGAGAUCCUACACAUACCUGUACUCUGCCUGUGUUUGCUCUGCAGGCUGGAAAGGUUGGGGCUGCACCGACGGCUCCACCGCUCAGUCGUACGCCCGCCAGCUGACGGCAACCAUGUUGCUGACGCUCAGCAACCUGUUCUUCCUGCCCGCCAUCGUGGUCGCCAUCAGACGCUCCUACAUCACCGAGGCCUUCGUCUACCUCUUCACCAUGUCCUUCUCUACGUUCUACCACGCCUGCGACCAGCCAGGCGCUGUGGUCCUGUGCAUCAUGGACUACGACGCCCUGCAGUACUGCGACUUCCUCGGCUCCAUCUGCUCCAUCUGGGUCACCAUCCUCUGCAUGGCUCGCCUGGGAGACACAGCCAAAUACACUCUGUUUCUGCUCGGGGCCUUGCUCAUAGCCAUGUCAAUGCAGCUGGACCGCAAGGGCCUGUGGAACCUGCUGGGCCCCAUCCUCUGUGCCAUACUUCUCAUGGUCACUUCCUGGGUGUACAGGGGUGUCCGCCGGCGACACUGCUACCCGCCCUCCUGGCGCCGCUGGGUCUUCUACCUCCUGCCCGGAGCGCUGUGCGCCCUCAUCGGAGUGUGCCUGUACGUCUUCGCCGAGACGGAGAGCAACUACUACUACACGCACUCGCUGUGGCACAUCCUGGUGGCCAGCUGCGUGGUGUUCCUGCUGCCGCCGAGGGAGAAGGACCGGAAGGCGCUGGGCUGGAGCCGGGGCCUCAGCUGGAGCUGGAGGUGGAGCUGGAGGCCGCGGGUUUGUGGAUACACGCUCUGCGAGAGCAGCAAAGACGAACUCUACACGGUCACAUAGCAGAGGGGGAGGCGUAGCGGGUCCGGCGUUUAUUUACAGUCUGACUCUUUACCUGGACGAGGCAUUUUCCUGUGUAAAGCUGCGUAUUCACAUAAGUCCACAUAUAUUUCAUAUUCACAUGUGCUCCAAGUGGAAGGGGGGGGUGUUAGAUUUAGAUUGAGAAAUAGGAACAUAUAUGCUCUUUUUAACCCACAUCCAGUCUGCUGGAAUCUCUAGAGAGAUGCACCAAUUAGAUUUUUAUAGCCGAUUUCUGGCCUGCCAUGCAGACUUAAUGUGAUUCAAAUUCUUCUUUAUGGACUUUACUUACGAAAUGCCAAUUUUUAAAUUUUUUUUACAGCUUUCCACCCGUAGGCGGUAUCAAGUUUAUAUAGGGAGCAGAGGAAACAACACACUGUGUGUGUGUGUGUGUGUAAUAAAGGAGUCGAUAUAAAACGGGGGUUUAUUAUUAGUUAAGAUCAAAGACAAAAUGAUUUGAGUUGACAUUUUAAACUAUAUUUAAUAGCUUCCACAAGCACAGUCAGUCUGGCCAGAUUUAGUAACUGUAAACCGCCUCUGGGUGCAUUUUGUAGAGAAUGCAGACCAUUAACCAAACCCAAAGAUUUCCAAAACGCUGCCAAUAUUUUCAACUCCAAUUUGUUCAAACACGGCAGAGCGUGCCUUGAUAAUUCUUUAAAAAAAAAAUAUAUAUAUAUACAUGGUCGUGAAUUGACAUUCUGUAAGAGACCGCUGCUUUUCUUUUUUUGAUAAAGUCGGGUUACAAAACGUACAAAAAUACAAAUAAGUUAAAUGAUCAGCACCCGCUGGCCGUAACGGGCCACUGGAUAGAAAUCAUGUCUGCAGCGUAUCAGUUGUAUGUUCGACUAACCUGUUAAGAUGUUCAGGUUACAUCGUUCCUGACAAACAAACCACUACAACGUUUCCCCCAGAAAACUUGCUGAGCCCAGUGGUUGGGCGCUAAGGCAGUCAUUCAUCCAGCGGCCCAUUAUGUUUUUGAUUUCAAAAGUGUUUAAAGUUAACAGGACAUUUUUAAAUGUCACUUGAUAACUAUGUGUUAUUGAAAGAUUGGGAGAUUAAUACCUGAACACAAACUAUAGAGUCUUAAAAAAUGCAAACAUUUUAAAAAGACUUCAAAAAAAAUAAGCAAUGCUUAGCCUGGUGGCCUGCCAGGCUUACAAUACGCUGGGGUAAACCCUGCAGUAAAUAAAUAGCUCUCUGUUAUGACAGGCUGAAUUAACAGUCUGCGUGCCUCGGUUUUAUUUCUAAAUGGCUGCUUGGGCCUUUUUGUGCUUCCGUACUGAUUCGUCAUUCAAUGGCAAACUUUGACUCAUCUCCCUUCAGUAACAACGUCUCACUAAAAAAAAAGUGCUGAUUCAGCACAACCUGUUAGCAUUUAGGUGUAUUCACUGGCAAAAAAAAAAAAAAAAAAUCUUUUUUAUUUUCUGCCUGUGUAUUGCCUAUCGUUGGUCAGAGCUGAACUAAAAGGAAAUGAUUCAAUUUCAGCCAGCAGCUUAUUUAAAACAUCCGACGUCUCUGUGUCUUUACUGUAUGUUCCUUGUUUCUUCUUAGAUGUGACCGCCGGUACCCUGAGGUAGCAGACCAAUACAGCUGUGAGCUAUAAAGCAGGAUUAAUGCCUAAACGGGGUUGUUUAAUUUGUAAUAAGAGUUUCACAUUUGAAGAGGUGGAUAUUAGCUGGUCACCAUAGUAACAUUAGAUGAGCUGUAACUAGCAUCAGACAAGUUUUAUGUAGAGAGUUUCUGAUCAAAAUACCAAUCAAAAGCAUCUUGCUAGGCAGCCAGCUAGAUGCUUUUUACUAGUUAAAUCUUCUGGCCACCCACAGGUAAUCCAAAUCAGACAAGCUAGCUAAAUCAGACUGUUUCUAGCUACCAAAAACAGCCCAACUAGCUACAAACAAACAGUCUAGCUAAAGCUGGCUAGAAACAGUCAGUCUGGCUAUAGCUAGCUAUAAGCAGUCUAGCUAGCUAGAAACAGUCAUAGUCUAGCUAUAGCUAGCUAGAAAGACUGAUUUAUGUUUUCUUUAGCUCCCAUCAAGCUAGUUACCACAAAGAAUUUAACUUUUUUUAGCAGCACCAGUCACAUGUAUUUGGUUAGUUUAAUAGAAAAAUUUGACAUACUGGUUCCAAUUUUAAAAAUGACGAUUUAGGAACAAUAUUCAAAAUACUUUCCUUGAUUUACUAAAAAGUGGAAAAAAGCACCCUCAAUUAUUCAAAAUUGAGCAUUUUUAACUUGAAGCAGUCAGCUUCAGUUUCCAAAAGGCUAACGUUUCCAAAUUCAGCAUGUUGAAAAGGUUAAUGCUGUAAAUGGACUGAACUUAUUCACCCAAAUUGCCCAAUUCACCCAUUGGGCAAUUUGGGGUUAAAUGCCUUGCCCAGAGACACAUCAACAUGUGGCAGGAGGAAGCUGGAAUCGAACCUACAACCUUCCGAUCGCAAGACGACUACUCUACCAUACAGCCACAGUCGCCCUGGACUGUAUUCCAUUCAUCAUUCAUAUUGUCUGUUUAAAGUCUUGCUCUCUCUCUCUCUUUCUCUCUGAACAAACCGCAGACAUGUCUCAACUCGUAGAAAGCAAUUUCCUUUUUAAGAUUCGUACAGCCUCCUGUUAAUUUUAAACAGCUUACUAAUAGGAAUACUGGUAGUUUAGUCUUAGUGCAGUCACUGAUUGGAAUUACUAAUUUAAGGCUCAGCAAGUAACCCAACAGGACCAAUCGAACUAAAAAUCAUCUGGUGCAUCUCUGUUUGUAGAGAUUAUUGGGGUUUUUUGUAUUUAUGCAAUUUGUUAGACAUGCUUGUCUAAAAUAUUUAUAAGUGAUAUUGCUUAAUCUUAAUCUUAAAUCUCCACAAAGAUGUUGUAUUUAUGAAUGAUGUGUUUUUGUUUUCCCCCUAUAGGUCUGGGUUCAAUUGGAAGAGUUUAAAACCCCAGAUGAAAUUUGAACAAUUAUUUACUGCCAGGCAGUGUCAGAAUUCUGACAAUCACAUCUCAGUCUCAUGGCUGCAGAUCAGAACAACCUGGAUGAGGAAAACGAUGAAGACAAUGUACGAAGAAAUCACAUUUACUGACUCUGUUACUUGGGUAA